rnacentral:lncRNA from 1 species
UUUAGAUCUAAAAUAAAACUAUUUUAAAAAAUUAUAAAUAUUUUGUGUUGAGUUUCAAAUCUGCAUACAUAUCAUUUACCAGUAUCAUCAUCCAUUAUAUCUAUGAUGAAAUUGGUGCGUAGAUGAUCUUUACAUAUACAAUUGUCAAGAUGGUUAUUAUAGAGGUGAGAAAAUAUUUCUCUUCCAAAAAUUCUAUAACAAUCAAAGAGUAAAGAUUUUUUAGGAGGUGGGUGGUGAUUAACUAUAGAUUUUUCACUUUGCCUGGCACAAACUUAUUUUAUGGCUGGUUAAGAGCAUGGCUGGUUAAGAGCAUGGCCAACGAGAUAAUUUAGUUUUGGAAUUCUAAGAAAAAAAAAAAAAAAAAUAUAUAUAUAUAUAUAUAUAUGUAUGUAUAUAUUAUAUAUGUGUAUGUAAAUGCGGGAAACGUAAUCCAAAAUAUCUGAUUUUAGAUAUUUUAGUUUUGUUUUCCGUAAAAUUUAGAACUCCGUAAUUACAUACAAAUAUAUAAGAUAUACAUACAUAUAUAUGUACUGUUACAACCCUAAAACUAAAAUUCUUUGAUAAAGUUGUUCUAAACUUUCUCCCCUCAGUUCAGACCUUGAGCAUCUCCUGAUAAAUAAUAGGGUGAAUUAGCCAAAUAACCAAAUUUGAAAAGAAAAUUAAGUGUAUAGCAUUGAUUUUGACAUAAUAAAGCCCAUAACAAUUAUGUCAACUUCUAUCCGGUAAUACUCUUUUUUUGUUCAAGUUGUCAGUAAUAGAGAGAGAAACUGAUGAUAUCAACAAUCUGACACCCCACAAUUAAUUAUCACACGUAAUUCAAUCAACACCACACAUUUGUUUAACACAUAAAUAUACAUCUAAUUUUUCUAUACCAUAUUACUAAAAAUAAUAGGAUUCAAAAUCCACUCACACCUAGUAAAUACUAAACUUUAAUCCAAACCUCAACUCCAAAAUAAUAAACCCUAAACUUUAAACAUCCCCUUCCAUCUAAAUACUAAACCCUAAACCCUAAUUACUGAACCCUAAACCCAAAUAUAAACCUUAAACCCAAUUAUCAAAAUCUGAAAAUAGUAUAUAAUAUUAUGUAAUAUUAAACUAAAUCCAAACAAAACUCCUCAAUGCUAAACUCAGACCUAACUUUUGAAUACUAAACCCAAAAAUGCUAUCACUAAACCCAAACCUAAACUCCCACCUUCCAAAUACUAAACCCUAAAUCCUAAUCACUAAACCCUAAACCCAAGUAUAGACUAUAAACCCAAAUAGAAUGGAACAAAAUACAUAGUAUAGUAUAAAUUGGUAAGCAAAAAAAACACCCUUUUUUAAUCGUCAAAUGGAACAUACAUAAUACGGUCACUAAACCCAAACAUCAACCCCCACCUUCCAAAUACUAAACCCUAAAUCUUAAUCAUUAAACCUAAACCCAAGUAUAAACUCUAAACCCAAAUAGUAUAGAACAAAAUAAAUAGUAUAGUACAUAUAGUUGUAAACAAGAAAUUGAUAAAUAAUGAAUUUAUCAAACAAUCGAUGGUACAAUAAUACAACAACCGUAGCAUACUAUUUAGUUUGGUACUUGCGAAUUGUACAAAAAUAUAAGAAUCGUACUAUACUAUAAUUUUCUUUCACUACAUAUAGUAUAGUCGACGAGUUCAUCUUCUUCACAUCUUCCUCUUUUUACAGACAUGGUGAUACACACAUUCACUAGUACAGAGUAAUUAUUCUUCAUCAUACCAUAUCAAUACAGCAUACUAUAACAAUUUAAAUAACAAUGAAAAAAAUCAAGAUGAACAACAUUGAAAAAAACUAAAAAAAAAAAGAAAUUGUGAUGUCACCUCGUUGUUGUCUACGGUGCCAUCUUCUCCUCCAAACUCAAUUCUACAAGCCCAAAAUCCAUAUUAUUUCUUAGUCUAGUGGUUUGUAUUCGUAUGUAUAAAAAAAACAGAGAUUGGAGGAGAAGAGGAAGAAGAAGAGAAAGAGAUGUGGAACAAUGAUAACCACAAUUUAUUAAAUUAUUUAUUUAAUAUUUCUUUUGAUAAAUAACUCUCAGCAGGUCACACAGGUUGAAUUGAAGGGUAAUAUAGCAUUAUUACAUAAAAUAUAUGUACUAUAGAUGAAAGUUAGGGGUUUUAGCUAUGUAAUGAAUUAUAAUUUGUUUGAAGGUUAUACAGCCC